GGAUAGGUGGGUGAGCUGGCUGAAACCACUUCCCUGCUAAGGAAGCGUACUGGCAACGGUACCGAGGGUUCGAAUCCCUCCCUGUCCGCCA
rnacentral:tRNA from 1 species